CGGCUCCGGAGCGCUCGCUGGGGCUGUCCGGAAGGCGGCGAGUGCCCCCAGCGCGCUGACCCCUUCGGAUCCUGCCCGGCGCCCUCCCCGCCUGCGGUGCGAGCGGAAAAAAUGGGCUGGAAAGAGUUUUUCCAACACAAAAACCCCAUGGUGUGACAGAAUCUCAGAUGUUGAACUAACAAUUUGGGUAAAUUUGUAGACCUCCAUCACCACAACAGGGCCUGCCCCUCAGUUUUAGCCAUCAAAGGACUAAUACAUUGCUGCCUGGAGGAAUCACUGCAUGCAUUCUAUUUUCAUCUGAAGAAGAGAGAGUUCUCCCUUUAGUGAAUUUCCAUGGAUGAACUCCCCAUUCUGCUCAGAAAGUUAAUUUGAGCAUAAGCAUGUUCUACCAUGCAAUUUAAGAGAGGAGGACACGUCUUCAAAGUUUUUUAGUUUUUGAAAUGAGUAAGUCCAAAACUCCAUUUCCUCCCCAGGCUGCAUAACAAAUCACUAAAAGAAGGAGAUUUCCACUUUCUUUAUAUAGCAUGAUUCCCAGCUAGAAGUAACAUCCUUACAAUUACUGUGGUUCUUUAGGUGCCAUUUCAGUAUUGUCUAUUCCAAAAGAUUAACUGCUCCAGAAAGAACUUAAUAUUUUUUAAUCCAACUAUACUUUUAGUAACAUUUUCUACCAGUAGUUCUAUCUUUUGGGGCAUUCUCACUGCACUUUCUCCAGUGCUACUUGUGUGACACUAAUUUCACGGGCCACCGCCUUGCAGUCAUGUACUUAGACUCUGUAAAAGUGUAUAUGGUGUUUCCAGCAAGUUGCAGGCAGUGCACUGCUCCUAAUAUAUAUUAUUUCAUUCCAUUCUCUCUCUUCCAUUUCGAAGGCAAAAGAUUUCUCAUUUAUUUUGAUAGCAUCUGUUAAUAUAUAAAAGUUUACAUACUUUGAAUAAUACUCUACCUAUAAUCCAUUUACAUUAAGAGUCCAGAAACAAAAUUCUUAGCUAUUCCACUGGAUAUUUGUCUUAUCUUUUUCACCUGACAAAACUAACAACUGGAACUAUAAGUAUUAGGGGAAAUUAUGAAGUCUUUUCCUCUUUCAGUUUAUUAUCCAUUCUGAAAUAGAUUACUGUUGUAUUUUGUACCACUUUCUUAGUAAACUCAUUUACCUGUCAUUUAAAUGCUUUGUUUAAACACUAUAAGUUCAGUAAUUAGAACAAGUGGAGUUAACUUGUGUGCCAAAUUUUACAAAACUGAAGUCCAUAUAUCCAACAUUGUCAUAAUUAAAGAAUACUGUUUACAAAUAUAUUCUUUA